GCUUCCUGUGCUUUGACGCUCACAGACGUUUACGGUGUUCCGUACAGGCUGCUAACGGUAAUCCAUUUUUGAGCUGUUUAUUUCUUUUAACGGAAGAGUAUACUAUUGAAAUCUAUAAGAAAGACAACAUUUAUGGCAAAGUGUCACUUCCUCCACCCCAGCGCACUCGAAGUGGAACCACAGUUGGCAAAGGUCACACUGCACCCAUUCGUCAAUGGCCCCAUCUCCUGAGCCAGGUGGGACCACUCUACUGCAGACAGCGCAGUGUUCCCCAUCUUCCUCAGUUGGAGAUGGUGCCUGUUUCUUCUGCCUUUUGGUCUCCUGUGCUUGUCUGUUUUCCACCUUCUUUGCCAUAUUCACAUAUACACCAGCAGGUGAACGUACUCGUCACUGGUGAUGACACGGGCUGGCAGCGGAAGGCGACGCCUUACCUUCUCCUUCCUGUCCAAGGCUGGGCUCAUGAGUACGUUGGCCAGACUUUCCGGAAUGACACCUGCUGCCACCAGCAGUUGCACUGGAUGGCGUGGCUGAGGGAGUGACGGGAGUGAUGGAUGGCGUGGCAUCCCUUCGGUCAGCAGAUGGGAGCACUCUCACCACUCUCACCACCAAAACCCCCCUGGACAGAGGACAGAUGCCUGCCUUGCAGAACCCAACCUUAAUAUUUUGGGCAGUGACAGCAGUGGGGUAGGCAUUCCUCAGCAGAGAAGAAAACUGCUUCUUCCCGACCACAAGAUCCCCUCGCACUAGACCCAUCCUGGAAGCCAUGGUGGAGAAAGCAGUCUUGAGGGGAUUAAAGACAGCAAUAUCCAGGGGCUGUAGGAUGUGUGUGGUGUGGGCAGGAACAACACGAGAUGCAAGCCAACCUUCCGUGACCUCCCAGUGAACCUGCUAGUGGAUGACUGACAUCUUCAAAACCUG